AGGCCACAGACUCCGACCGGAACUGACAGCGCGGCCUCCAGGAUUGAAGCCAUCCCUGGCUUGAAGUAGCCUAAGGAGAUUUGCUAGUUUGAGUCCUGGGAGAUGAGAUGGGGAAGAUGGGCCCAAGCUGCAACAUGAAGGUCCAUGAUGAACAGUUGGCAUCUCCUACAGUGCCUGCCACUUGCCAGAAUCCAUAUCCUGUUCCAAGAUGCCUGUUCCAAACUCCCAUCACUAAAGUUUAGGUAAUGUUCAAUGCAGCCAAGGGAGCUAAGGUAAUGAACAAAACAGAGAAGUUCCUACCCUCCCUGAUGUUCAUUCUAGCAAAUGGAGACAGAUGAUAGAAACUGCACAUCAUUGAGCAAGAGGGACACCAUGGAUAAUGGAAAGAUCUACGGCAAGGCUGGCUGUCUGCCCUGUCUAAGGAGGACGUACUGGACCAUCCUGCUCUGCACAUCCAGAUGUGUCCAUGAAUACAUCCAUAAAACGAUGGCCUGUGGAAUCCUAUAGGAAAAUGAUCCAGAGCCUGGGCGGUCAGAAGGAACAAACACUUGAUUUACAAAAUAAAUCUUCUAUGUUUAUGUUUUAAAGACACACAGAGGAAAAACAUUUUUAAAUUCAUGAUUUCCCCCCCCAGAUUUUAACUAUUGUAAUCUCUUUCUUUCCUGAGCCUUAGGCAUCUUCAUUAUAAACCAAAAGAUAUAACUUGAGAUUUUCCCAGGGUUUAUAUACUCGUUAGAGUUGGAAACAUGAAAAUGGCAAUUUGGGAUGUCUCUUUGGAGUCAAAAACCUUAUAAAAAUAUAAUGUACUUUCUCUCU
rnacentral:lncRNA from 1 species